AUUGAACGCUGGCGGCAGGCCUAACACAUGCAAGUCGGGCGAGUGGCGGACGGGUGAGUAAUGUAUGGGGAUCUGCCUGAUGGCGGGGGAUAACUACUGGAAACGGUAGCUAAUACCGCAUACCAUCAGAUGAACCCAUAUGGGAUUAGAUAUGAGGUAAGGUAACGGCUGACCUAGGAGACGAUCCCGAGCUGGUCUGAGAGGAUGAUCAGCCACACUGGGACUGAGACACGGCCCAGACUCCUACGGGAGGCAGCAGUGGGGAAUAUUGCACAAUGGGCGCAAGCCUGAUGCAGCCAUGCCGCUUGUAUGAAGAAGUCCUUCGGGUUGUAAAGUACUUUCAGUCGGGAGGCGUUACCGACAGAAGAAGCACCGGCUAACUCCGUGCCAGCAGCCGCGGUAAUUC
rnacentral:rRNA from 1 species